CUUUGUUUUAUUUCUGAUACCAUUAACUGUGUUAUAAUGAAGACUCAAGACUCAAGAAGGACCAAGUGAACUACAUGAAUGGUUGUCUCAAGGAGCAUGGGAUUCUUGUGGAGGGUGACGAGGCUAUUCUGACACUGGCCCUUGUGUGCAUUCGCUUCAGAGACCUUGUGACGGGGGAAGCCUUAAGAAGACAAGCCCAUUUUCUUUGGCUUGACAGAUAUGUAGGUCGAGGAAGAAGAGGGGAACUCGACACCCACCCAGGCUUCUGCAGCGAGUUCUGCCAAAUCUGUGCUGAUCUUCUUUGAGUGUUGUGUGCAUGUAGUGCAAUAGAUGCAAACUCCUCACUUUUCAGUGACAACUCACUUUUUUGAGGUUGAAAUGGGUCACCUACGAGAUUUGCAUGGAUCCAAUGAGAGUGGAUCUUACAAGGAUACUUGUGAUCUAACGUGGGUAAAUAAAGAACUGGUUGUUUCAAUAAGUUGUGCAUAGUAUUUUCUUUACUCUUUACUUCUUUACUUUAAAACUGUCUAAAAAUGUAAUACUUUAUUUAUUUGAGGUCUGAGAUGUGGGAACAGUGAAGAGUGAGAGGUUGGGCAAAUAUUUUCUUACUGAAAAUAGCCGGCAUAGCACGUCAUCUUUUACAACAUAGGAUUUUGACUACAUUUAGUCACAUGCAGUUGUCUAGUAAUGUUCAUGAUCAGUAGA